rnacentral:lncRNA from 1 species
AAUUUUUCCCUCACUUCACUCGAAUCCAGCCCAUUGUCUUCUUGACGACAAGGACUUCGUACAAUUUUGUCCGUUGUCUCCUUGUCUUCAGCAAACGGAUCCAAAUCCAUGCAACCAACUAAGGCAGUGCUGGGUAAAGUCUCUUUCUCUAGUGUGGGUGUGGCUGGCAAUGGUAUGUCUUCUUCAAUAGAAGCAACAAUUUCUUCGGUUCCGAUAUUAAUAUUACCAUCUUUAGCAACAAUUUCUGCGGUUCCGAUAUUAAUAUUACCAUCUUUCUUACUGUGGCUUUUGUUUUUCAUAAUUGCCGAUCCAAUUUUUUUGCCAGCUUUCCUUUCCGAUGCAACGCCUGUGCCGGCGGCGGCCACGUCCACCUUCACUGGUAGUGUUUUUUCACUAGAUGGCCUCCAGAAGGUGUGAAUUUUUCUGCUCAAAUGCGAGUUCCAGUAGUUCUUUAUCUCGUUAUCUGUUCUACCUGGCAUAUUGCUUGCAAUUAAAGACCACCUGCAACACGUAACGAUGGUCAGCGUUAAAGUUGAUUUUCUUAGUGUUAAUUAAUAGCCAUCAACUUUUAAUAUGUAAUAUUUAUUUGAUUUGUUAUAAUCUUUGAAAACAUCCUUAGUUAAACUACAAGGUUACUCCUGUCCCACUGAAAGUAUCCAUUCAACUAGAACUAGUUUUGAAACCAGAUAAUAAAAGAUAUUUACAUCCAGAUAAAAUAAUGUAAAAAUAAAUGAUUGGAUAAUAAGGCCGAAUAGCGAAUAAUUAAUGUACUUUAAAAUGACAAUAAGUUACACGUAACGAUAAAAGAAACAGUUACGUCAAAGAUAACUCCAAUAAAUAUCUGGGGCAAAAUUAGGGGUAAAAUUAGGGUGCAACUGCGGUAUUAUACUACAAUUGUAUUUAAUUAUUAGAUCUAAUUAUACACAUAUAUUAUAAUUAAAUUUAAUAUCUAGAUACAGCUAUGGUAUGGUACUAUAAUUACACCAUAGCUGGAACCCAUUGAGUGAUGCCUGAAAAGUAAUAAGAAAUUGACGUAAUUUGAAAAAGGAGGGAUGGUAUUGCUGGUGAUCUUAAUUUAAGUCAGGAAAAAGAAAACUCACAAGCUGAAAAAGAAAAUUUUAAACUAUUUUGGCGCAUGACACAUCACCGUUUUAAUUUGUAAGAGAGAGAGAGAGAGAAAAUUCAAUGAUGCAUUUAUUGGCUUCACAUUCCAGCUUCCAAGGAGCCCCAGUGCCAAUACAGACAAGUGCUUCUCGAUAUCGCAUUUUUCACAUGCAUGUUAUGUUUCAGUAAGAGCAGCUAAGACACAGACACACUA